UACAGAGGGUGCGAGCGUUAAUCGGAAUUACUGGGCGUAAAGCGCACGUAGGCGGCUUGGUAUGUCGGGUGUGAAAUCCCCGGGCUCAACCUGGGAACUGCAUCCGAAACUGCCUUGCUCGAGUAUGGGAGAGGGAAGUGGAAUUUCCGGUGUAGCGGUGAAAUGCGUAGAUAUCGGAAGAACAUCAGUGGCGAAGGCGACUUCCUGGACCAAUACUGACGCUCAGGUGCGAAAGCGUGGGGAGCAAACAGGAUUAAGAAACCCCGGUGAGU
rnacentral:rRNA from 1 species